ACAGACAAUUUUUCCCGUGUAGUUGCUUCGCUACUCCUUGUUUGCGUUCUUCAACUUUGUUUGUGAGUUGCAAGGUCAACAUUCUCUACAAAUGUUUGUGUGUCGUUGAGUUGAUGUUUGUUGUGAAAGAAUGAAUUCAUCAUAUGAGGAUAUUCGCCGCAAAACAAUUGAAGAGAAUCAAAAAAAGAUGCAGGCUCUCAAUCUUACUAAAAUCUCUCAAUCCCUUUACAAAUCAUCUUCGUCUUCUUCAAAACCAUCAUCGUCUGUGAAGGGUCGUCCGAGGUUUGUACAACCUGGAGAGCUUGAAGUAAACAAGAAGCGCCUACGUUCAACGACAACUCAAAAAUCAUCAAUAGCCUCUCUGCCAAUCCAAACUACAAUAACCCCUACACCAAUCCAAACUACAAUAAC